AUGAGUGUGGGGUGCAUCAGACAAGAAGUGGCAGGGACAGCAGCCUCCCUGACCAUAACGACAGUACCGGGCCGUGUGAGGGGUGUGUGUAUGGUGAGUGUGUCUGCUCAGAACUUCUCUCUGCAUUGGGAGCAGUCAGAGGGGUGUGUGGACCAGUACCUUGUCAGCCUGCUGCCCAUCCAAGGAACUGUCUCUGUCUACCACACACACAAUGGACACGUACAGGUACACACACACACACACACACACACACACACACACACAAGGAAGCGAUUACACAGUAGAUGUUGUCAGCAGCAAUAGGGACGAGAAGUUAACCUGCUUCUGUUAACAUCAACACAAGUGAGUUAUGGAGAAACACACACACACGAACAUACUAGCACAUACAGUGGCUUGCGAAAGUAUUUACCCCCCUUGGCAUUUUUCAUAUUUUGUUGCCUUACAACCUGGAAUUAAAAUCGAUUUUUUGUGGGGUUUGUAUCAUUUUAUUUACACAACAUGCCUACCACUUUGAAGAUUCAAAAUAUGUUUUAUUGUGAAACAAACAAUAAAUAACACAAAAAAAACAGAAAACUUGAGUGUGCAUAACUAUUCACCCCCCCCAAAGUCAAAACUUUGUAGAGCCACCUUCUGCAGCAAUUACAGCUGCACGUCUCUUGGGGUAUGUCUCUAUAAGCUUGGCACAUCUAGCCACUGGGACUUUUGCCCAUUCUUCAUGGCAAAACUGCUCAAUGUCCUUCAAGUUGAAUGGGUUCUGCUGGUGUACAACAAUCUUUAAGUCAUACCACAUAUUCUCAAUUGGAUUGAGUUCUGGGCUUUGGCUAGGCCAUUCCAAGACAUUUAAAUGUUUCCCCUUAAACCACUCAAGUGUUGCUUUAGCAGUAUCCUUAGGGUCAUUGUCCUGCUGGAAGGUGAACCUCUGUCUCAGUCUCAAAUCUCUGGAAGACUGAAACAGGUUUCCCUCAAGACUUUUCCUGUAUUUAGCAGCAUCCAUCAUUCCUUCAAUUAUUUUUUUUAGAUUUUUUUGUUGUUGUUGAAUUUUACCCCCUUUUCUCCCCAAUUUCGUGAUAUCCAAUUGUUAGUAGUUACUAUCUUGUCUCAUCGCUACAACUCCCGUACGGGCUCGGGAGAGACAAAGGUCGAUGCGUCCUAAGAAACACAACCCAACCAAGCCGCACUGCUUCUUAACACAGCGCGCAUCCAACCUGGAAGCCAGCCGCACCAAUGUGUCGGAGGAAACACUGUGCGCCUGGCGACCUGGUUAGCGUGCACUGCGCCCGGCCCGCCACAGGAGUCGCUAGUGCGCGAUGAGACAAGGAUAUCCCUACCGGCCAAAUCCUCCCUAACCCGGACGACGCUAGGCCAAUUGUGCGUCGCCCCAUGGACCUCCCGGUCGCGGCCGGCUGCGACAGAGCCAUCAUUCCUUCAAUUCUGACCAGUUUCCCAGUCCCUGUCGAUGAAAAACAUCCCCACAGCUUGAUGCUGCCACCACCAUGCUUCACUGUGGGGAUGGUGUCUCAGGGUGAUGACAGGUGUUGGAUUUACACCAGAUAUAGUUUUUUCCUUGAUGGCCAAAAAGCUCAAAUUUAGUCUCAUUUGGCCAGAGUACCUUCUUCCGUAUGUUUGGGGAGUCUCCCACAUGCCUUUUGGUGAACACCAAACGUGUUUGCUUAUUUUUUCUAUAAGCAAUGGCUUUUUUAUGGCCACUCUUCUAUAAAGCCCAGCUCUGUGGAGUGUACAGCUUAAAGUGGUCCUAUGGACAGAUUCUCCAAUCUCCACUGUGGAGCUUUGAAGCUCCUUCAGGGUUAUCUUUGGUCUCUUUGUUGCCUCCCUGAUUAAUGCCCUCCUUGCCUGGUCUGUGAGUUUUGGUGGGCAGCCCUCUCUUGGCAGGAUUGUUCUGGUGCCAUAUUCUUUUAAUUUUUUAAUAAUGAAUUUAAUCGUGCUCCAUGGGAUAUUCAAAGUUUC
rnacentral:lncRNA from 13 species